rnacentral:rRNA from 1 species
UUAAGCCAUGCAUGUCUCAGUAUAAGCUUCUAUACGGCGAAACUGCGAAUGGCUCAUUAAAACAGUUAUAGUUUAUUUGGUGGUCAGCAAUUACAUGGAUAACCGUGGUAAUUCUAGAGCUAAUACAUGCGUCCAAACCCGACUUCGUGGAAGGGUUGUGUUUAUUAGAUACAGAACCAACCCAGGCUCCGCCUGGCCUUGAGGUGAUUCAUAAUAACCGAACGAAUCGCAUGGCUAUGCCGGCGAUAGACCAUUCAAGUUUCUGACCUAUCAGCUAUCGUCGGUAGGGUAUUGGCCUACCGUGGCAAUGACGGGUAACGGANAAUUAGGGUUCGAUUCCGGAGAGGGAGCCUGAGAAACGGCUACCACAUCUAAGGAAGGCAGCAGGCGCGCAAAUUACCCAAUCCUGACGCAGGGAGGUAGUGACAAGAAAUAACAAUACAGGGCAUACAUGUCUUGUAAUUGGAAUGAGUAAACUUUAAAUCACUUUACGAGUAUCAAUUGGAGGG